AAGGGGACUGCGACAAGAGGAAUGGCCAAGUGAGCGCACGCAGGAGAGACCCAAGGCUCUCUAAAACACUGGUUCCAACAGUUCACCAUGUCCUCUAGGAGAAAGAAAGUGCCCAACUUCCUGCUUGCCCCACCCCUCCAGGCUGCUAAGCUGUAAAGUGGGACCAAUUUGGCCUGGAGGCUGAAGAGUAAACUCUGGGUAGGAAAGAAUCUUGGGGCCAUACAGAAUUGCAGAAGUUGUUAACUGAUACCAUUAGAAAUUGGGGGAAUCUUGUGGAAAUGGAUUUCUGUGGUGCUUCAUCAGGCAGGGGGAAGAUGUAAGUUUGGACCAGGCUGAUCUUCUUAGUAUGGAUGCACUAACCAGUGAUCAGCCUUCUCUGUGAUAGCUCCAGGAACGGGUCUGGCUCUAGCAAUUAAUUCAUGGAUUUGGCUAAAGCAAACUUGGGUCAAAUGCUGGUCCACCUGAAAUGGAACUACAGGGCCCAAGUCCCUUGGCAUCAUGUAGAGGAAGGGAAUGAGAGGUCUCUGAAGACAGGAUGCUGAAUUGGAUCUGUUUUGUGCCUCCUUCCCGUGGCCUCCAGUGAACCCAGCACACUUCCCCCUUGCUUUGAAGAAAGUUGAGAUCAAGAGUGCUGCGUGGAGGGCUAUGAUCUGAAAUGGGUUCCCUGAGCUCAGAGGGGAGGAACUCAGGGGAUGCCUGCCACUCUGGCCUCCAAAACUAAGUGGGAACAAUCAUCAGGAUAUUCCACAGUCUCUGAAUGAGACAAGAACUCGCAGUGUCCCAUGGCCCUGGAAGGUGAAACCACAGGCAGCCAGUUUAAGCCUUACUUAAUUUGUACAAUCAACAAAACAGCAGAAAUAAAACAACAAAGCAAAACAAACCCCCACUCUUCAGCUCUGGCAAGACUUGAGCCUCCAUGAGUGAUAGAUCAUCCCCUAACACCAGCCUUGAGGGGCUUAUGGACCUAGAGCCCUUAGCUCGAAGGCCAUCUCUUGAGGAAGGGCUUUGCCAGCACAGAGGGAUGCUAUGAAUGCCAGUUUUAGGCUUGUGACCAUCACAGAAUGAGGACGAAGCAACAGUGUCUUCCUCCUCACAGUCUCUUCCUUUCCCGCCAGCCUCACAUCCAGGGUCUGCCGGUGGCCUGUACACUUGCCAUUUAUUCCUUAUGUCACAGAAUACUGAAGAAGGAUGAACUCUGGGCUAGAAUCAGUAACAGGAUAUGACCGUGGAGCGUCCCCUUUAGGGAGAGGAUCAGUGUGUUUCCAGGCAUAUGCAAGAGAAUUUCCUUAUGUUAGAGCAAGUGUAAAAUGGGGUACAUGGGCG
rnacentral:lncRNA from 1 species